GGGCUUGUGAUGAUCGAUCUCAAAAAGAUCUUAGCGGAUUUCAGUGAGGCGUAUAACGCGUCAAUGAUCGAAAUCUUUGUUGUUACACACACUGAAGCCU
rfam:Ananas comosus cultivar MD2 ACMD2_Scaffold_1344, whole genome shotgun sequence.